rnacentral:rRNA from 1 species
GUCUCUUCGGGGAUGAUUAAACCGGCGCACGGGUGAGUAACACGUGAGUGACCUGCCUUUUAGACUGGAACAACUUACCGAAAGGUGAGCUAAUGCCGGAUGAGUUAUAUAAGUGCAUGUUUAUAUAGGAAAAGUUGGGGAGACCUGACGCUGAAAGAUGGACUCGCGUCCCAUUAGCUAGUUGGUAGGGUAAUGGCCUACCAAGGCGACGAUGGGUAGCCGGCCUGAGAGGGUGGCCGGCCACACUGGGACUGAGACACGGCCCAGACUCCUACGGGAGGCAGCAGUGGGGAAUUUUGCGCAAUGCUCGUAAGAGUGACGCAGCGACGCCGCGUGAAUGACGAAGGCCUUCGGGUCGUAAAGUUCUUUCGACAGGGAAGAAAAUGCCUAUAAGUAACUGUGUAUGUAUUGACGGUACCUGUAUAAGCAGCCCCGGCUAACUCCGUGCCAGCAGCCGCGGUAAUACGGAGGGGGCGAGCGUUGUUCGGAGUGACUGGGCGUAAAGAGCACGUAGGCGGUGUUGUAAGUCAUUAGUCAAAGACUAGAGCUCAACUUUAGUAAGGCUAGUGAUACUAUAAUACUAGAGUAUCAGAGAGGAUUGCAGAAUUCCUGGUGUAGCGGUGAAAUGCGUAGAUAUCAGGAGGAAUACCGUUAGCGAAGGCGGCAAUCUGGCUGGAAACUGACGCUGAGGUGCGAAAGCGUGGGUAGCAAACAGGAUUAGAUACCCUGGUAGUCCACGCUGUAAACGAUGGAUGCUAGGUGUUGGGCUUUUAAGUUCAGUGCCGCAGCAAACGCGAUAAGCAUCCCGCCUGGGGAGUACGUU